AUUUGAUGGUACCUUACUACUUGGAUAACCGUGGUAAUUCUAGAGCUAAUACAUGCUAAAAAUCCCGACUUCGGAAGGGAUGUAUUUAUUAGAUAAAAAACCAAUGCCUUUUGGCUCCUUGGUGAUUCAUAAUAACUAAACGAAUCGCAUGGCCUUGCGCCGGCGAUGGUUCAUUCAAAUUUCUGCCCUAUCAACUUUCGAUGGUAGGAUAGUGGCCUACCAUGGUUUCAACGGGUAACGGGGAAUUAGGGUUCUAUUCCGGAGAGGGAGCCUGAGAAACGGCUACCACAUCCAAGGAAGGCAGCAGGCGCGCAAAUUACCCAAUCCCGACACGGGGAGGUAGUGACAAUAAAUACUGAUACAGGGCUCUUUUGGGUCUUGUAAUUGGAAUGAGUACAAUUUAAAUCCCUUAACGAGGAACAAUUGGAGGGCAAGUCUGGUGCCAGCAGCCGCGGUAAUUCCAGCUCCAAUAGCGUAUAUUAAAGUUGUUGCAGUUAAAAAGCUCGUAGUUGAACCUUGGGCCUGGCUGCUCGGUCCGCCUAACCGCGUGCACUGAUGCGGCCGGGCCUUUCCUUCUGGCCAACCUCAUGCUCUUCACUGGGUGUGCAGGGGAUCCAGGACUUUUACUUUGAAAAAAUUAGAGUGUUCAAAGCAGGCCUAUGCUCGAAUACAUUAGCAUGGAAUAAUAGAAUAGGACGGCGGUUCUAUUUUGUUGGUUUCUAGAGCCACCGUAAUGAUUAAUAGGGAUAGUCGGGGGCAUCAGUAUUCAAUUGUCAGAGGUGAAAUUCUUGGAUUUAUUGAAGACUAACUACUGCGAAAGCAUUUGCCAAGGAUGUUUUCAUUAAUCAGUGAACGAAAGUUAGGGGAUCGAAGACGAUCAGAUACCGUCGUAGUCUUAACCAUAAACUAUGCCGACUAGGGAUCGGGCGGUGUUCAAUUCAUGACCCGCUCGGCACCUUACGAGAAAU
rnacentral:rRNA from 1 species